rnacentral:rRNA from 1 species
UGGGGAAUCUUGCGCAAUGGUCGAAAGACUGACGCAGCGACGCCGCGUGUGGGAGGACGCCUUUCGGGGUGUAAACCACUGUUGCCCGGGACGAACUUCUGGUUUCGACCAGACUGACGGUACCGGGUGAGGAAGCACCGGCUAACUCCGUGCCAGCAGCCGCGGUAAUACGGAGGGUGCGAGCGUUGUCCGGAAUCAUUGGGCGUAAAGGGCGCGUAGGUGGCCCGGUCAGUUCGUGGUGAAAGCGCGGGGCUCAACCCUGCGUCGGCCAUGAAUACUGCCGCGGCUGGAGCACUGUAGAGGCAGGCGGAAUUCCGGGUGUAGCGGUGGAAUGCGUAGAGAUCCGGAAGAACACCGGUGGCGAAGGCGGCCUGCUGGGCAGUUGCUGACACUGAGGCGCGACAGCGUGGGGAGCAAACA